rnacentral:rRNA from 1 species
UACGAAGGGUGCAAACGUUGCUCGGAAUCAUUGGGCGUAAAGCGCACGUAGGCGGCUUUGCAAGUCGGAUGUGAAAUCCCGUGGCUCAACCAUGGACGUGCAUUCGAAACUGCAAGCUUGAGUAUGGAAGAGGGUCGCGGAAUUCCCGGUGUAGAGGUGAAAUUCGUAGAUAUCGGGAGGAACACCAGUGGCGAAGGCGGCGACCUGGGCCAAUACUGACGCUGAGGUGCGAAAGCGUGGGGAGCAAACAGG